rnacentral:rRNA from 1 species
GGUACUGAGACCCAAAAAGUCGAAGGAAGAAAUUCACCGCUGUUUCGCAAGAGGCGUUAAGCAAUUGUGUACAUGUUUAUUAUUGUGUGGUCAAACAUACAAUAUAUAUGCUGUCCAUUGUUUAUACGAACCGCUUAUGAACGCGUGCAUUUUUCUUCUGGUAGGACGUUGCAAUCCGUUGAAAUGUUGUUUAUUGGUUUACGGCAUACGGUGGAGUUCGUUAACUUUUUUUAAUCGAUAGGUGGACGCCCCCGUAUUGUUUCCUAACCAAUAUUUGACGGUAUAAUAUAGGAUCUUGGACCGCUACUUUUUUUNNNNNNNUUUUUUAGCGUUCGACUCUUGUCAAGCACCAUCGACGAUUACGUUGGUUUUCGGACCUAGUGCCGAUUCUGACCGUCGGUGACUGUUGGACAGUGAUGUUCUCGAACUGUGUCUGAUCAAGAUCGAUUAGCGACGCUAUAGCUUUGGGUAAUUUCAGGACCCGUCUUGAAACACGGACCAAGGAGUCUAGCGUGUACGCGAGUCAUUGGGACCGUAUACGAAUCCUAAAGGCGCAAUGAAAGUAAGAAUACUCUUGUAGUGUUCAUGGGAAGACAAGUGAGAGAUAAUAUUUUGCUUUGCAUUCCCGGGGCGUCUCGUACUCAUUGCGAGUUGAGGCGCACCCAGAGCGUACACGCUGGGACCCGAAAGAUGGUGAACUAUGCCUGGUCAGGACGAAGUCAGGGGAAACCCUGAUGGAGGUCCGUAGCGAUUCUGACGUGCAAAUCGAUCGUCGGAACUGGGUA